CUUUUGCAGCCCAGCUGGUUCCGGUCGGGGAAGAUGGCGGUAGCUGGGGCGGCAUCCGGAGAGCCACUAGUACACUGGUGCACACAGCAAUUGCGAAAAACUUUCGCCUUGGAUGUCAGCGAGGAGAUCAUACAAUAUGUUUUGUCAAUUGAGAGUGCCGAAGAAAUACGAGACUAUGUGACAGAUCUUCUCCAGGGAAAUGAGGGUAAAAAGGGUCAAUUCAUAGAAGAUCUUAUAACCAAAUGGCAAAAGAAGGAUCAGGAGUGCAUUUCUGAUUCUUUUCAACAGUGCUGGAAAAAAGAUGAAAGUUUAGAUGGACAGAGAUCAGUGGACCAGCUAAAGCGGAGUAGGAGGAAAGGAAGAAACAAACAGGAAGUUCCUGCAUUUCCUGAACCUGACGUGACUGUGGAGGUCAAAACACCUUUAGAUUUGGCCAAGGCACAAGAAGGCAACAGCUCCGUAAAGAAGAAGACGAGAUUUGUCAGCUUAUAUACACGAGAGGGGCAGGACAAACUUGCAGUCCUCCUUCCUGGUCGUCACCCGUGUGAUUGCUUGGGCCAGAAGCACAAACUCAUCAAUAACUGUCUGGUCUGUGGGCGGAUUGUCUGUGAACAGGAGGGUUCAGGCCCCUGCUUGUUCUGUGGCUCUUUGGUGUGUACCAAUGAAGAACAGGACAUUUUACAACGUGACUCAAACAAAAGCCAGAAACUGCUGAAGAAGCUCAUGUCAGGGGCAGAGAAUUCUGGAAAGGUGGAUAUCUCUACCAAGGACCAUCCUCCUCAUCAGGAAUCUCGAAUGAAGUCUGGUUUGGAGAAGGCUGUCAAGCACAAGGAAAAACUGUUAGAGUUCGAUAGGACUAGUAUCCGAAGGACCCAAGUCAUUGAUGAUGAAUCAGAUUACUUUGCCAGUGAUUCUAAUCAGUGGCUGUCCAAAGUUGAGCGAGACAUGCUACAGAAACGAGAGGAAGAGCUGAGAGAACUCCGACAUGCCUCUCGACUUUCUAAGAAAGUCACCAUUGACUUUGCGGGGCGGAAGAUCCUAGAAGAUGAAAACCCACUGGCAGAGUAUCACAGCAGACUAGAUGAGACAAUACAAGCCAUUGCCAAUGGAACUUUGAACCAGUCACUGGUCACGUCUGAUAGAUCUUCUGAAGAGCCUUUGGGAGUUCUGGUAAACCCUAACAUGUACCAGGCCCCUCCUCAGUGGGUGGACAACACUGGGUCAGCACCACCAAAGAAAACUUCACUCUCAGUAGGACCAAGACUAGAGCUCAGUUUACAUCCUCACCAGCUUCGAAUCCAGGACCAGGAAUUCCAGGAAGGCUUUGAUGGUGGCUGGUGCCUGUCUGUGCAUCAGCCCUGGGCUUCUCUGCUUGUCAAGGGGAUUAAAAGGGUGGAGGGCAGAUCCUGGUAUACUCCUCACAGAGGAAGACUUUGGAUAGCAGCCACAGGCAAAAGACCUUCGACUCAAGAAGUCUCAGAACUCCAGGCUACCUACCGUCUUCUUCGCGGGAAAGAUGUAGAAUUUCCAAAUGACUAUCCAUCAGGUUGUCUUCUGGGCUGUGUGGACCUUAUUGAUUGCUUAUCCCAGAAACAAUUCCAGGAGCAGGACCUUGGAAAGAUUGCUGUUACACUGAAGGAGAGCAACACGAUUGUAAAUGCAGCUAAGGCUGGAAGAUGAAAAACAGCCAAAAAAUAGGAAAACUAGGAAGAAAAUGAUACUUUGGAAGUUAAGUGGGGAUCAUGUUUAAGACAGAGGAAUAGAAAUUUGUCAGGCUAGGAAUGUAGCUCAAUGCUAGAGCAUUUGCUUACCAUAUGCGAGGCUUUGGAUUUGAUCCCUAACACCAUAAAAAUAUAUAUGCUAAAUAAAUGGGCUAGCCAGGUGUGAUAGCACAUCCCUAAUUUAAUUCCAGCAUUUACUGGAGAGGCAGAGACAGCCUGUCAGAUUUUCCAGGAUAGCAUAAUUAAGAUAAAACUGAGAGCUGAUCAUUUAAUUUAGCAACAUGGAGGUUAGCAGUGACCGUUACAGGAGUAGUUCUAUAGCAGGUUAAAAACAGCUGGGUGCGGAAGUGCACACCUUUAACCCCUGCACUCCAAAAGCAGAUGGACCUUUGUGAGUUGGAGGCCAACCUGGUCUACAAGUGAGCCCAGAAUAGCCAGGGAUAUGUAAAGAGACCCUGUCUCACAAACAAACAAACAUAAAUAAAUAAGAUUUGAAAAUAUGUAAAUAAAUGCAGGCCAGGGAGGUAGUUCAGUAGGUAGAGGCUUGUAACACAAUCACAAUCACCUGAGUUCCAUCACCACAUAAAGCUCGAUGUGGUAGCUCACAUCCACAGUCACAGUGCCAGCAUUCCUAAGGUGAGAAGAGAGAAUGCUGUUCAGCAACAGAAGUAACAAGAAAGACCCUGCCCUGAAACAAGGUAGAAGGCAAGAACCAGCUCACAAAACUUGUCCCUUGGCCUACACACAUUGGUAGUCUUCUUCAGUUCCUCUUCAGCUUUUUGAGAGUUAAUCCUCUGAGAACCUGGAGCUCACAGACGUAAGCUCACAGUGAGCUGCAUGAGUGAGUCUCUGUCCCACUCCACUCAGUGUGCCUACUAAUCUAUCCUCCCAGCUCCUUUACUGCAAAUAUUUCCAUUUUGUUUAUAAGUAUGUUGUUUGUGACUGAUACUUGAUACUAAGUUUAUAUUUUAUGUAUGAGUACACUGUAGCUGUCCUAAGACGCACCAGAAGAGGGCAUCGGAUCUCAUUACAGAUGGUUGAGAGCCACCAUGUGCUUGCUGGGAAUUGAACUCAGGACCUCUGGAAGAGCAGUCAGUGCUCUUAACCACUGAGCCAUCUCUCCAACCAGAGAGGGUAGAUCUUAAAAGUUCCCGGACAUCAGUCAAGAGUCUGACUCUCCAUUUGUCUUCAUCUGCAAAAAUCCCCAGGAAAUGGUUGUGAAGUUCCCUAUUAAAGGAAAUCCUAAAAUCUGUAA